rnacentral:rRNA from 1 species
GACGAACGCUGGCGGCGUGCUUAACACAUGCAAGUCGAACGGUGACCCAGGGCUUGCCCUGGUGAUCAGUGGCGAACGGGUGAGUAACACGUGGGCAACCUGCCCCUGACUUCGGGAUAACUCCUCGAAAGAGGAGCUAAUACCGGAUACGACCACUUCGGACAUCCGAUGGUGGUGGAAAGUUUUUCGGUCAGGGAUGGGCCCGCGGCCUAUCAGCUAGUUGGUGGGGUAAUGGCCUACCAAGGUCGACGACGGGUAGCCGGCCUGAGAGGGCGACCGGCCACACUGGGACUGAGACAGGCCCAGACUCCUACGGGAGGCAGCAGUGGGGAAUAUUGCGCAAUGGGCGAAAGCCUGACGCAGCGACGCCGCGUGAGGGAUGAAGGCCUUCGGGUUGU